rnacentral:misc_RNA from 1 species
GUAGGUGAACCUGCGGAAGGAUCAUUAAAGAACGCCCCGUUUUUUGAAAUAGGUUCUAUUCCCAAACCGUGUAUACAUACCUUUGUUGCUUUGGCAGGCCGCCUUCUGGGCGUCGGCUCCGGCUGACUGCGCCUGCCAGAGGACCCAAACUCGUUUUGUUUAGUGAUGUCUGAGUACUAUAUAAUAGUUAAAACUUUCAACAACGGAUCUCUUGGUUCUG